rnacentral:tRNA from 1 species
GCACGCGUAGCUCAGAGGCCAGAGCUCCUCGCUCACACCGAGGCUGCCGCAGGUUCGAAUCCUGCCGCGUGCA